rnacentral:rRNA from 1 species
CUACGGGCCGCAGCAGUGGGGAAUAUUGCGCAAUGGGGGAAACCCUGACGCAGCGACGCCGUGUGAGUGAUGAAGGUUUUCGGAUCGUAAAGCUCUGUCAGGUGGGAAGAAUAAAGGGUGUGUGAAUAAUGCACUCUGAUGACGGUACCACCAGAGGAAGCACCGGCUAACUCCGUGCCAGCAGCCGCGGUAAUACGGAGGGUGCAAGCGUUGUUCGGAAUUACUAGGCGUAAAGCGCGUGUAGGCGGGCGUGCAGGUCAGAUGUGAAAUCCCUCGGCUCAACCGAGGAAGUGCAUCUGAAACCGCAUGUCUUGAGUACGAGAGAGGCAGAUGGAAUUCCCAGUGUAGAGGUGAAAUUCAUAGAUAUUGGGAAGAACACCGGUGGCGAAAGCGGUCUGCUGGCUCGAUACUGACGCUGAGACGCGAAAGCGUGGGGAGCAAACAGGAUUAGAUACCCCAGUAGUC